rfam:Canis lupus familiaris chromosome 24, whole genome shotgun sequence.
GGGCUUGCUUCGGCAGCACAAAUACUAAAACUGGAAAGAUACAGUGAAGAGUAGCAUGGCCCCUGCACAAGAUGACACACAAAUUUGUGAAGUGUUCCAUGUUUUU